rnacentral:rRNA from 1 species
ACCCGCACAAGCAGCGGAGCGUGUGGUUUAAUUCGUUGCUACACGAAGAACCUUACCUGGGUUUGACAUAUAGGUUGUAGGGAACUGAAAAGGGACCGACCCUUCGGGGAGCCUAUACAGGUGUUGCAUGGCUGUCGUCAGCUCGUGUCGUGAGAUGUUCGGUUAAGUCCGCUAACGAGCGCAACCCUCGUCGUAUGUUAUAUGUGUCAUACGAGACUGCCGGUAAAAGCCGGAGGAAGGUGAGGAUGAUGUCAAGUCAGCAUGACCUUUAUAUCCAGGGCUACACACGCGCUACAAUGGUCUGUACAAUGGGUAGCCAAGCCGCGAGGCGGAGCCAAUCCUGAAAGCAGGCCUCAGUUCAGAUUGCAGUCUGCAACUCGACUGCAUGAAGCCGGAGUUGCUAGUAACCGCAGGUCAGCAAUACUGCGGUGAAUACGUUCCCGGGUCUU